CCUACGGGUGGCAGCAGUGGGGGAUAUUGCACAAUGGGGGGAACCCUGAUGCAGCGACGCCGCGUGAGUGAAGAAGCGCCUCGGCGUGUAAAGCUCUGUCAGCAGGGACGAAACUGACCGUACCUGCAGAAGAAGCCCCGGCUAACUACGGGCCAGAAGCCGCGGUAAAACGUUGGGGGCAAGCCUUAACCGGAUUUACUGGGUGGAAAGGGGGGCGAGACGGCGGGGCAACACAGGCGGGAAAGCCCGGGGCCCAACCCCGGGACUGCUCUUGGAACUGCGGGGCUGGAGUGCAGGAGGGGCAGGUGGAAUUCCGGGGGUAGCGGUGAAAUGCGUAGAUAUCAGGAGGAACACCAGUGGCGAAGGCGGCCUGCUGGACUGCAACUGACGUUGAGGCCCGAAAGCGUGGGGAGCAAACAGGAUUAGAUACCCUUGUAGUC
rnacentral:rRNA from 1 species